CAACGAGCUAUGGUAAUUGCUUACCGUUAAAUGAGCCCUAUGCUUGUUUGCCAACCUAGUUGUGUAAGAAAAAAAAACAUAAAUGGCAUAUUGGUGUUAGAUAAACAUAUAAAUACAUACAUACUUUUAGAGUUGGUUAUUUUUGUCCUUAUAAGUACAUAAUAUACAAGUGGUAGUGAAUUUCAAAGUGUGCUUGUAAUAAGCUAGCAGCUAGAAAAAUUAAAUUAAUAGUUUAAUGAAUUGUAUAAACGUAUAUUUUAGUUAUAAGACCAUAUCAUAGUUUAAAUUAAAUAUUUAUUCUCAAGACAAUGUUAAAACAUGUGUCUAUUUUCUAGACUUUUUGCGGUUUAGAUUAUGAGGUUGUAUGGCGUUUUUUAUGGUGUAUAGCGUUCUGUAAUGUUACAUAAGUGAUUUGUUACAAAAAGUUUUAACUCAGUCAAGAAUAACUAUUUUGUACAUGGCAACAUUUUUUUUUAACAAUUCCUUAAUUCAGGAGCUAAGUUUCAAAAAUGAUUUUCUCUGCAGUUAAUUUUUUGUUGACUAAGUAUUUCUGAUGUUUCUACUGAAGAUUGGAACCGGCUUAGUUACUUACUUUAAAAUGUAGUCAUAGGGGAAAUUGUAAAAAAGUUGACAUAACUAGUUUUGAAUAACCCCUCCCUUUGCAGUCGGGUAAAAAUGACUCCUGAAUUUGUCUACCAUGUUUUAUGUACGAUAAUUCGCAUUAAUUAAAAGUUCUAAUAAAGCCAAAAACAAGAAAAUUAUGUUAAUUAAGAUUUCACAAAUAAUAAAAUAAUAAUUUACUUAUGGAUUGAAAAGAAAUUUUAAAUGAUAAUAAUAAAUUGUAAGUUUUUCGAUGUUCGAUGUAUUCUUGGCUAAAUUGACCAAAGAUCGCUUCACAUUUAAGCUCAUUGUAACAUAUCCUAACAAAACGUAUAAUUAUUAAUGAUUACUGUGAAGCACAGUGGAGGUACUAUAUUUCAAAAUUAAAAAAAAACAACUUAAAUUUGAACAAUUCGUUCCGGAUUUUUUUCGGCAGUCUGAUUUUGACAUUUUAUUAAUUAUUUUCUUAAUUCACAUUCCGUAGAAUCAUUGGCAUAGAUAAUAAUAAACACUCUUUACUACUUUUUAUUUUUUUUAGUCUGAAAUUGUUAUAUCCACUAAUUUGAAUUAAAAAAAAUUAAUAAUACUCUGCUAUCCAAACUUAUUAAAAGAAAUUAUACCUGGAUAUUCGUAUACCUUAUACGAUUAAAAUUAAUACUAUAAGUAUUUAUUUUAAAGCGAAGUUAUCUCUCUUUAUUAUAUUACCAUUGCCCAUUUUCGCCAUUUGUUUAGUAAUUUGUCACCAGAAUCCUCCACCUGUGUCCUAGACUGAUAAAGUGUCAUGUUGCUCAAAACGCCUUUGUAAAACGCUUGUGCCUGCUUAAUAUAAGAGAAUAGGUAUCAAUUUAUCGUUGCUAGUUAAGGAAAAGGAAAUAAAAAAAAUGUGGAUUGAAGUGUCUAUGGCCAACGCCUUAUACGUUUGAAGCGUAGAAUAAAUCAAAUAAAAACUCAUUUCUAAAAAACUUUUUACGAUUUAACAAAAAAAAUAUUUUUUAUUAUGGUGUCCGACGAUGUUUAAGCGAUUUGAACGUAAAGUGAAUACGCACAAAUAUUGUUUGUUAGGAAGAUAAAAGCACAACUUUGAUAUGUAACACUUUUAACGUUUUAAACCAGUUUGUACACUUUUGUAUUUUACAAAUAUAUAAAUGAUUUUAUGAUAUGGAUUUUUAUUUUUGUAAAAUAAUUUUUCCCUUUUUGAAAUAUUGAUUAAUUUAACU
rnacentral:misc_RNA from 1 species